AUGAAAGCACUACAAUAUAAUGAGGGAGAGAAAACUACAGGGCCCUGUUUCAUAAAGCAGGAUUACUGAGUUUGCCGGGUAAGUGCACUGAGUAAAACCCGAAACCGUCCAAAAUAUGGCACAUGGACUGAAGUAAAAAGAGCUGCUCCAGGGUUUACUCAGAUAUCCAGUUAAUUCAGUGACCCUGCUUUGUUUAAAAAAUCCCCUGGCUGGUAUAACAUGGAGACCUAACUGGUGCAGUUGGAAGCAACACCACAAUGGAGUAGUUUGUCUAUAUAUGCUGAACAGGAUGUACAGCCCCCCCAUACAUGUAACUGAGUGAUAAGCAGUGGGGGAAAAGAAGUGGUUGCUGGGAGAAUGUGCAUUGUGGGAGUAGUAGUUUCUCUGCAUUCAGAGAGUUUUGGGGGGCAUUGCAAAACUGGGCAUGGAAAGCAUGACUCAGUGAAUAUGAUAUCAGAUAGAGAAAAAAAAGAAAUCAGAGAUGAAACAAUGUUCAUAGUGACAAAAGGAAAAACUCACUUAAACAAUGUUUUAGUUCACAUUAGUUUCAAAAGAAUAUAAUUGGAAUCCUUUAUGAUAUCACUGAAUUUUUUAUUUCUGACACCAAAAUAUAUAUCAAAACAAACAAUACUGAAAUGUAUUAAAUACACAUUUUCUGGAAUAUUAGUCAAUAUGCUGAUACUCCUUACCAUUUAUGUAUCCAUGAAAGUGCAAACUAAUUUCAGGACAAAUUCAUUUAAUGCAGACAAAAAAUAUGCUGUCUGGGUAAAAUCAUCAGUGAAUAGAGCACGUGUCCCAACCCUCUAUAGACCCACUGCUGCUCACACAUCAGAGCUCCUCUAACUGUGUGUGACAGGAUUUGUAUAGAGGAAGGGGCUUUGCAUACCUGUCCUGCCUCACUGCUCCACACACUUUAAGACCCCCAGUGCUGAUCAGUGACUGUCCAGUCCUUUCACAGACACUGACACAGGCAGCAUUAUGAUGAUGUCAAGCUUUCUACUGCUGGUGAUGCUGGGACUCCUUGUACAGGAAUCAAUGGCUGAUAUUGUAUUAACUCAGGAUCCUGCAACUCGGUCUGUUCAGCUGGGAGAGACUGUCUCUAUCAGCUGUAAAGCCAGUCAUAGUUUGCGCAGCGCUCUCCACUGGUACCUGCAGAAACCUGGUCAGGCUCCUAAACUUCUGAUUCAUAGUGCCACAAAUCGCCACACUGGCAUUCCUGAUCGUUUCAAUGGGAGUGGAUCUGGGACUCAGUUCACACUGAAAAUCACUGGAGUCCAGGCUGAAGAUGAAGGAGAUUAUUACUGUCAGCAGAGCUUUACACCAAUCACACAGUGUUAGAGAGCCGUACAAAAACCUCCCUCUGUCAGAGUGCACAGAGACUGCACUGCUGCAGUGGGGACCUACUGCAGGUGCUGAGGGGGGAGGCACUGGUCUGGAACACUGAGCUGUGGUGGAUUAUUAUUAAAUCACUUAUACUCUCAAAACAAUUACCAUAUAUUUAAAUAUAUUUCAGAAUAUCCACACUUUUAAUAUAGAAUGUAAGGUCAAAACAUUUCCAAUGACUUUGAUUUAUAAUCACUCCCUUGCCAACAGACAUGUGUUGUUCUGAAGCAGUGCUCUGAGAUAAAAUAUCAUAUUUUUAAAUUCAUUAACAGUUACUGAGUUUAACACAGGAUGGCACAGAGCCCAGCAGCAGUGAACUGCAGGCAGUCCAGCACAGUGGAGUCGCUCAGUCCAGAGCUCUCCCAGCACACCUUACACAGGCUGCUGCUACACACCCUGACCAAUCAGAGAGCUCCACUGCUGCUUCUGAUCCCAUCCUCCAACCCCGUAAUAAAGGAGCACAAGCUACAGACUGACAGCGCCGCUGACCAAUCCGGUGAGCCGCUGUGCAGAAGGGAUCGUAUCAUUAUCUGUGAGGUCACCACAGGAGGGAGGGAGGGACUCCUUCAGCUCAGUCGUCCCUUUCUCUCUGAGGAAAAGCGAUUCCUCUGGGUGACUGUGUGCCUGCAGUCUGCCUGUGCCAGCUGCGCAGUGUGAGCUCCCAGAUUCAGUGGCUGCGCUGCUCAGCUGGCUGAGAGCUAAAUGAGAAUUAGCGGCUGCAGGCUGCACACGGGGAAGAGCAGGAUUUUCUGAGCUCUCCAGGGCUGAUGGAAGAAUUACAGUCUUGGACAAAAAUGAGGAUGA